rnacentral:tRNA from 1 species
AGGACGUCUCGCGCACGGCGACGGGCGAUGUUAUUGAAGAUGGCAAGGGCGUCGAGUACAAGAUCGGCCUCGCGGGUACGAAUGCCGCGACGAACUA